AAUGACGCCCUUGAAAGACAUGUUCCCCUUUCAUCAAUGCACAGACCCAGAAGACCCCUCCGUCCUGCAGCCCCCGCCAUGAGCCUCGGGCUCCUGUGCUGUGCAGCCUUUUCUCUCCUGUGGGCAGGUCCAGUGGAUGCUGGUGUCACUCAGACCCCAAAAUUCCAGGUCCUGAAGACAGGACAGAGCAUGACACUGCAGUGUGCUCAGGAUAUGAACCAUAACUACAUGUACUGGUAUCGACAAGACCCAGGCAUGGGGCUGAGGCUGAUUCAUUACUCAGCUGGUGAGGGUACAACUGCCAAAGGAGAAGUCCCCGAUGGCUACAAUGUCUCCAGACUAAACACACAGAAUUUCCUGCUCAGGCUGGAGUUGGCUGCUCCCUCCCAGACAUCUGUGUACUUCUGUGCCACCAGUGAAGCCACAGUCCACAGCUAUGAUGAACAGUUCUAUGCAGACACUGACCUGCUCCAUAGUUACCGCACCUUACCUUCAAUGUGGCCACGUGUUCCCAAAACACGCUGUUGCUGA